AAAUUGAAGAGUUUGAUCAUGGCUCAGAUUGAACGCUGGCGGCAGGCCUAACACAUGCAAGUCGAGCGGUAGCACAGAGAGCUUGCUCUCGGGUGACGAGCGGCGGACGGGUGAGUAAUGUCUGGGAAACUGCCUGAUGGAGGGGGAUAACUACUGGAAACGGUAGCUAAUACCGCAUAACGUCGCAAGACCAAAGUGGGGGACCUUCGGGCCUCAUGCCAUCAGAUGUGCCCAGAUGGGAUUAGCUAGUAGGUGGGGUAACGGCUCACCUAGGCGACGAUCCCUAGCUGGUCUGAGAGGAUGACCAGCCACACUGGAACUGAGACACGGUCCAGACUCCUACGGGAGGCAGCAGUGGGGAAUAUUGCACAAUGGGCGCAAGCCUGAUGCAGCCAUGCCGCGUGUGUGAAGAAGGCCUUCGGGUUGUAAAGCACUUUCAGCGGGGAGGAAGGCGCUAAGGUUAAUAACCUUGGCGAUUGACGUUACCCGCAGAAGAAGCACCGGCUAACUCCGUGCCAGCAGCCGCGGUAAUACGGAGGGUGCAAGCGUUAAUCGGAAUUACUGGGCGUAAAGCGCACGCAGGCGGUCUGUCAAGUCGGAUGUGAAAUCCCCGGGCUCAACCUGGGAACUGCAUUCGAAACUGGCAGGCUAGAGUCUUGUAGAGGGGGGUAGAAUUCCAGGUGUAGCGGUGAAAUGCGUAGAGAUCUGGAGGAAUACCGGUGGCGAAGGCGGCCCCCUGGACAAAGACUGACGCUCAGGUGCGAAAGCGUGGGGAGCAAACAGGAUUAGAUACCCUGGUAGUCCACGCCGUAAACGAUGUCGAUUUGGAGGUUGUGCCCUUGAGGCGUGGCUUCCGGAGCUAACGCGUUAAAUCGACCGCCUGGGGAGUACGGCCGCAAGGUUAAAACUCAAAUGAAUUGACGGGGGCCCGCACAAGCGGUGGAGCAUGUGGUUUAAUUCGAUGCAACGCGAAGAACCUUACCUGGUCUUGACAUCCACAGAACUUUCCAGAGAUGGAUUGGUGCCUUCGGGAACUGUGAGACAGGUGCUGCAUGGCUGUCGUCAGCUCGUGUUGUGAAAUGUUGGGUUAAGUCCCGCAACGAGCGCAACCCUUAUCCUUUGUUGCCAGCGGU
rnacentral:rRNA from 1 species